CUCUAGCCCGCUGGGUGAAAUGGAUAAUGGCUUCGGCUCACAUAGAUACCUCCGUAUACAGCGCACAUUUUACUAGAGGGGCCAUGGCUUCUAAGAUUUUUGACUUUUGAUGUGUCAGGGUCUUACCUGAGUUGGGAGUCUGUAGCGCAGAUAAAUUGCUCACCCUUGCAAAUAGCCACAGGCCAAGGUGGUCAGGUAAGAAUUCACCUGGCCUGUGGAUCUGUGCACGGGGGCUGUGCAGGAUGAAGUUCCAAAACGCAGCACAGGCAAGGACUCAAACAGCAGGAUAGUCAAGGGAUAGUCGAGGUCAAAGGAUGCAAGAGGACAGGAACAACGAGGACUAGCCGGAGUCAAGGGAUGCCAGAGGUCAGAGUAAAC